GGGCCUUCGGCCUCGCCUUUAGGUUGCCGAUGCUGUUAGCUNGUUGGUGGGUAAAGCCUACCAAGGGACGAUCAGUAGUUGUCUGAGAGACGACCAGCCCACUGGACUGAGACACGGCCCAGACUCCUACGGAGGCAGCAGUGGGAAUUUUGGACAAUGGGCGAAAGCCUGAUCCAGCAAUGCCGCGUGUNGAAGAAGGCCUUCGGGUUGUAAAGCACUUUUGUCCGGAAAGAAAUCCUUGGCUCUAAUACAGCCGGGGGAUGACGGUACCGGAAGAAUAAGCACCGGCUAACUACGUGCCAGCAGCCGCGGUAAUACGUAGGGUGCAAGCGUUAAUCGGAAUUACUGGGCGUAAAGCGUGCGCAGGCGGUUUGCUAAGACCGAUGUGAAAUCCCCGGGCUCAACCUGGGAACUGCAUUGGUGACUGGCAGGCUAGAGUAUGGCAGAGGGGGGUAGAAUUCCACGUGUAGCAGUGAAAUGCGUAGAGAUGUGGAGGAAUACCGAUGGCGAAGGCAGCCCCCUGGGCCAAUACUGACGCUCAUGCACGAAAGCGUGGGGAGCAAACAGGAUUAGAUACCCUGGUAGUCCACGCCCUAAACGAUGUCAACUAGUUGUUGGGGAUUCAUUUCCUUAGUAACGUAGCUAACGCGUGAAGUUGACCGCCUGGGGAGUACGGUCGCAAGAUUAAAACUCAAAGGAAUUGACGGGGACCCGCACAAGCGGUGGAUGAUGUGGAUUAAUUCGAUGCAACGCGAAAAACCUUACCUACCCUUGACAUGGUCGGAAUCCUGCUGAGAGGUGGGAGUGCUCGAAAGAGAACCGGCGCACAGGUGCUGCAUGGCUGUCGUCAGCUCGUGUCGUGAGAUGUUGGGUUAAGUCCCGCAACGAGCGCAACCCUUGUCCUUAGUUGCUACGCAAGAGCACUCUAAGGAGACUGCCGGUGACAAACCGGAGGAAGGUGGGGAUGACGUCAAGUCCUCAUGGCCCUUAUGGGUAGGGCUUCACACGUCAUACAAUGGUCGGAACAGAGGGUUGCCAACCCGCGAGGGGGAGCUAAUCCCAGAAAACCGAUCGUAGUCCGGAUUGCACUCUGCAACUCGAGUGCAUGAAGCUGGAAUCGCUAGUAAUCGCGGAUCAGCAUGCCGCGGUGAA
rnacentral:rRNA from 1 species